rnacentral:rRNA from 1 species
GAUGAACGCUGGCGGCGUGCCUAAUACAUGCAAGUCGAGCGAACAGAUGAGGAGCUUGCUCCUCUGACGUUAGCGGCGGACGGGUGAGUAACACGUGGAUAACCUACCUAUAAGACUGGGAUAACUUCGGGAAACCGGAGCUAAUACCGGAUAAUAUAUUGAACCGCAUGGUUCAAUAGUGAAAGACGGUUUUGCUGUCACUUAUAGAUGGAUCCGCGCCGCAUUAGCUAGUUGGUAAGGUAACGGCUUACCAAGGCAACGAUGCGUAGCCGACCUGAGAGGGUGAUCGGCCACACUGGAACUGAGACACGGUCAAGACUCCUACGGGAGGCAGCAGUAGGGAAUCUUCCGAAAUGGGCGAAAGCCUGACGGAGCAACGCCGCGUGAGUGAUGAAGGUCUUCGGAUCGUAAAACUCUGUUAUUAGGGAAGAACAAAUGUGUAAGUAACUAUGCACGUCUUGACGGUACCUAAUCAGAAAGCCACGGCUAACUACGUG